rnacentral:rRNA from 1 species
AGAAUCAACGCUGGCGGCGUGCCUAACACAUGCAAGUCGCACGAGAAAGGGUAGCAAUACCUGAGUAAAGUGGCGCACGGGUGAGUAACACGUGAAUUAUCUACCUCCGAGUGGGGAAUAACUGAGAGAAAUCUUAGCUAAUACCGCAUAACACUUACGAGUCAAAGCAGCAAUGCGCUUGGAGAGGAGUUCGCGGCAGAUUAGUUAGUUGGCGGGGUAAUGGCCCACCAAGACGAUGAUCUGUAUCCGGCCUGAGAGGGCGCACGGACACACUGGAACUGAAACACGGUCCAGACUCCUACGGGAGGCAGCAGUGGGGGAAUUUUGCGCAAUGGGGGAAACCCUGACGCAGCAACGCCGCGUGGAGGAUGAAAUAUCUUGGUAUGUAAACUCCUUUCGAUGGGGAAGAUUAUGACGGUACCCAUAGAAGAAGCCCCAGCUAACUUCGCGCCAGCAGCCGCGGUAA